rnacentral:rRNA from 1 species
GACGAACGCUGGCGGCGUGCUUAACACAUGCAAGUCGAACGGUAAGGCCCUUCGGGGUACACGAGUGGCGAACGGGUGAGUAACACGUGGGUGAUCUGCCCUGCACUUCGGGAUAAGCCUGGGAAACUGGGUCUAAUACCGGAUAGGACCCUGGGAUGCAUGUCCUGGGGUGGAAAGCUUUUGCGGUGUGGGAUGGGCCCGCGGCCUAUCAGCGUGUUGGUGGGGGGAUGGCCUACCAAGGCGACGACGGGUAGCCGGCCUGAGAGGGUGACCGGCCACACUGGGACUGAGAUACGGCCCAGACUCCUACGGGAGGCAGCAGUGGGGAAUAUUGCACAAUGGGCGCAAGCCUGAUGCAGCGACGCCGCGUGAGGGAUGACGGCCUUCGGGUUGUAAACCUCUUUCAGCACCGACGAAGCGCAAGUGACGGUAGGUGCAGAAGAAGGACCGGCCAACUACGUGCCAGCCGCCGCAGUAA